CCCAGUUUGAUUUCUUAUCUGCUAUAUUGCAUUUGUUCUCCCAAAUGGGUCAGCGUGCCUUCUGUGUCAAAAUUUGGAGAUGUAGUUCUGAAAACCAGUGAACAAGGAGAAAUUUGGAGAUGUAGUUCUAAAAACCAGUGAACAAGAAGCACAUGGGAGCCGCUCAAUGCUCUACUAUUGAAAGUUGGUGUGGUUGUUUGUCAGUAAAACUUAUCUGUAGUCAAGUCAUACCCAGCCCGUUGACCAUCAUCCGAAUGCUUCUGAUAAUAACCAAGUGUUUUCUAUUGAAUAUGUUACAAUCCAUUCUGAAGCAAACUAAGUUACUAGCAGUUUAAGAAGAUGUUAUACACCUGACUGACGAAGAUCUUUUUUAUAUCCACAAGGCAUUUCAUGACGAUCCAAGUAUAUUGCUGAUCAAAUAGAAAAUAUGUAAUUUUCUGUUUCGGUAAUAAACGGGCAAUUCAACGUAUAGUUGGGGCAGCCUGAUUUCCUCUUACACAUGCCUGCUAGCAGCAGCAGUUACGACCAGGCGGUUGCGGCCUGACUUGGCGGCUCUUCCUUUUUGUUUUGUGUUUGAAUCAGAUUUGGCGGUCUCGAUUUUACAGGCAUGUGUUGAUCUUGGUCUUGUUCUGUAUGCAGGUAGGGUACACUUGAUGUUUCAUGUUUGGUGAAAGAAAAGGAGCUUCCUAUGUUGAUUUGGGCAAGACAUACAUUCUGCCAUGCAUUAGUAGAUCAAUUGCUUCUCUGUGUAGGGGAACGAUUAGCGAUUGAAUCUCUCUGUCUCGUUUCUUGAUUAUCCAAUUAAUUUACCCUCAUCUAUGCAUAAAUUGGUCCGAUUGAGUUAUGCCAUUUUUCUAAUAAUCUAUAUUGGUUCUAUAUAUGACUAGAACAAUAUGAUACGAUGCACAUCGGUCCGCUUUACUGGCAGCUAUCUUUCAAGAUGGAGGGGAGGCACUCGUGUGGACCUGCUCAAUGUUCGAGGAGAUACGGCUGACUAAACAAGGAGGUGCUUAUAAAAUGAUGGUUGAACAUGUACAGAUUUUGGAUCACGAUCAUCUAUUUACCAGGCAUCAGUUAACUCAAGGCAUCGACCAAAAUCUAGCAUUCUUUGUUGUGUGCACCAUGGAGAAGACAAAGAACAAAGAUUUCAAAUCAAGACAAUUUGCAACUUUGGUGUUGUGACGUUGGAGGCCGUGCUCAACAGCAAUGGGGGACUGUUCGUUGAUGCCCGACCCAUGAUGCCGGCGAAGGAAUGAGAGUCGACGAGGAGUGGACACCAUGGGUUUGUGAACUGGCGAAGCGUCCGUUGUCCGUUUGGUAAUGUCCGACGCAUCAGAGGCAUAGUAUGACUUGCCCCGAUUAUGAUGUCGUCUACAAACAUCCGACGAAGGGGAGCCCGUCCCAGUUUCCAUCUUGAUGUUUCAGUUGUUGAGCUCUGCACUAUAAAACCGAGAAAUACCCAAGGCUUUUUACAGACUACAAAUAGAGGGAAGUUUGCAUGUGCCUUACUAGAGACAGAUGAACCAAUAAAAUGAUUGGAAAGGUUCUUCCCAAGCAAAAGAUUACCUAUGAUGAAAAUUACAUUCUCUGCGGGCGCUGAUUCAGAUAUAUUACUAUGGGCAAAGGAAGUUCAAAAUUUAUCUCAAUCAAACAUGUGCAAAGGAAAAUUCAAAAUUUGUUAUGUCAGGAAAAGAUUCUUAAACCAGUGAAGUAUCUAGAGGGCUUAUUAGGACACUGCUCAUAUUGUUUGAUACUUUACCAUCUGGGGAUUAGGCUACCGGUGAACACGACAAUGCGGCUGUUGGUCACGGAUGCCGGGGGCGUGAGCGGGGUUGAGGAGCUCACAUGGUGCUAUACAUGACGACAUGCGAGUGGUGGCAGGAGGUGGCAUGCCUGCUGCUUGGCUGGAAGUCCGACAUGAACUCCCACGACCGACUGUAAGCAUGGUUGUGAAGACCUUCCAGCAUUACCCCAGGAAGCUAACACAUCAGCUUGUGCCAUACGUGGUGUUUUCUUGUUGAUGAAUGUUGGUCUAGGUAAUUUCUUUGAUGAACCAUGUGACAAUUAAUAAAGUUAAUAAAGGACAGCAUACUCUUUUUGUCCGCCUUGAUCGCAGUGGGGCGGGGGUGAGGCGUUGGAGAGAGAGGCGGGGCAGUGGUGCAUGCGUGCAAUGCGUCUGGACGACAGAAUGCAUGAUCGAGUGAUCGGUGUGGUGGUUGGCGGUGCUUGGGCAAUGAUGUUCGAUUUGAGAGGAAGAAGAAAGAUUAGCUGCUGAUUUUGGGGGGGGAAGAAGAGAGAUUGAGCGUGUUGUUGUUGUCGUGUGUGGUCUUGGGAGAGGAAUAAAAGAGAGUAGUAAAGAGCUGUAGAGAGAUAGCGAGGGAUUGAGAGGCUACUACUAUUUUUUAUUGUUGUCGAUGCUUGCACAAUGCUAUUUCUUAUUAUACUGGGGUAUUCAUCUUUGGACUAAAAA